rnacentral:tRNA from 1 species
GCCGGUAUAGCUCAGUUGGUAGAGCAACCGCCUUGUAAGCGGUAGGUCCCCAGUUCGAAUCCGGGUGCCGGCACCA